CAAGUCGAGCGGCAGCGGGAAGUAGUUUACUACUUGCCGGCGAGCGGCGGACGGGUGAGUAAUGUCUGGGGAUCUGCCUGAUGGAGGGGGAUAACUACUGGAAACGGUAGCUAAUACCGCAUGACCUCGUAAGAGCAAAGUGGGGGACCUUCGGGCCUCACGCCAUCGGAUGAACCCAGAUGGGAUUAGCUAGUAGGUGGGGUAAUGGCUCACCUAGGCGACGAUCCCUAGCUGGUCUGAGAGGAUGACCAGCCACACUGGAACUGAGACACGGUCCAGACUCCUACGGGAGGCAGCAGUGGGGAAUAUUGCACAAUGGGCGCAAGCCUGAUGCAGCCAUGCCGCGUGUGUGAAGAAGGCCUUCGGGUUGUAAAGCACUUUCAGCGAGGAGGAAGGCAGUCGUGUAAU
rnacentral:rRNA from 1 species